GCGCUCGUAGCUCAAGCUGGAUAGAGCACCAGACUUCGGAUCUGGGGGUUGUAGGUUCGAACCCUGCCGAGCGCACCA
rnacentral:tRNA from 1 species